CUUCUUCCUGAUCAGCCUCUUUUAAGUCCGUGUAUAUUUUGGGUCCGUGUAUAUUUUGGCAAUUGGAUUUUCCUUUCUGAAAUGGAGUGAAAGUAGCAGUUCCUCCUGAAGGUCAGAGAUUGCAGCAUCUGAGGGCCUCUUCAAAAGAAGAUGUAGUUGAUGAAGACGUUCUGGAGCAGGACCAGAAAGACCACGACCAAGCAGCCUUGAGAUCUUAGACAGCGUCUCCCUCAGACCAAAGAACUACAGACUCUUCACAACCUGCUCAAACUCUUGGUACAGGACCUCACCACACGGAUCAAGAAGGUUUCCAUCUCAUUUCUACUCUGAAGCUCACCUUCUCCUGCUCAAACUGCUGACAAAUGUUUCUGCUGCUCUAAAGUCUGGUCUCCAGAACUUCCUAAAAACUCUCAAAGUCUCUGCUGCUGCAGGUUGCUUUGUAGAACUGUUCCAGAAAACCUCACUAAACCACAUGGAGGGUCCUCAAGAUAGUCGUCCAAAUGAAACCAUACAAAAACCAAACUAGCACAACCCAAACGCUAAAGUCUCCUGCAGCCUACCAGAGAACCUCUUUAAACAAAGAAUUAGGACAGGAACUCUUACCUUCUG
ensembl:lncRNA